GAAUGAAAGAGUUCAGCGCAUCAGCUUAAAAAAGUAAAACUAACAAUUCCGCAAAACUCCGUGAAUUUGGCCGGAAAAACCUUAACAGCAGUGAAAGAUUUUCACACCGAGGCCGUCAACGAAGAGAGUGAUAAAGUUCGACAGAUUCCACCAUCCGACCGGACAAAAACCGGAGCAGUUCUAGCGGAAACAAGCUGAACACUCCGCCGGAACAACCAGCACCACAUCAUCAAGAGUCGCAGUCGCAGCAGUAAACUUGGCGGAAGAAAAACAUUUGUGUUUUGGUUUUGUUCAAGUGAACAGAACACGACUUCCUGGAUCGCACCAAAAGUAAUCUACGAUGGCUCCUAAAUAUUCUUCCGAGGAGCACCACAGGCGACGAAAUCAGGGAAUCUGACAGAAGAAAAAGCUAUUCCUCUUCGGAAGACCCGAACGUUAAGAAUUGCGGGAAAAGGUGCGGAUGCAAUAGGAUUGUUCAUUCACCCGAAGUUAACAUUUGUUGGCGGUUGCACUUCGCUGUAUCAGCAGAAUUUUAUCAUUCAAGAGUCCCCAGAAUAGGCUCCAUAGGUUACGAAGACUACCGCGUAGUCCACCUUCUGCUCCCAAACGUAGCGUUGCUUGAUCUACUUUGCCAGAAGCACCUUCAUUGAUACAACAAGGUGGUGGCAGCAAAACUCUAAAAUAAGUUCGAACACUUGCUCGGUGAUAAAUGCUGCAGGGGUCCACUAUGAUCGUUCUGCUAUGUAGCUUUUCUCUGCUUUUCGAGAUUUUUCACAUCAAUCUGAAGCAUCAAAAUCAACGGCAGCUGCAGCUCCGCAUCAAAUACGCGUCAGGUUUUCCGCAGUCAUCAUAUCUGAUGGUAAAAUGUGUAGAUUUAUCUUAUUUUGUUGU